AGCAGCCGCGGUAAUUCCAGCUCCAAUAGCGUAUAUUAAAGUUGUUGCAGUUAAAAAGCUCGUAGUUGAAUUUCGGGAUCAAUACGUCGGUCGUGCCUUCGGUACGUACUGGCGUCAUUGGUUUCUCCCUUCUGACGAACCAUGAUGUCAUUAAUUUGGUGUUAUGGGAAGUUAGGACUGUUACUUUGAAAAAUUAGAGUGUUUAAAGCAGGCAUUAGCUUGAAUACAUUAGCAUGGAAUAAUGAAAUAGGACGUUUGAUUCUAUUUUGUUGGUUUCUAGGAUCGGCGUAAUGAUUAAUAGGGAUAGUUGGGGGCAUUAGUAUUCAAUUGUCAGAGGUGAAAUUCUUGGAUUUAUUGAAGACUAACUACUGCGAAAGCAUUUGCCAAGGAUGUUUUCAUUAAUCAAGAACGAAAGUUAGGGGAUCGAAGACGAUCAGAUACCGUGUAGUCUUAACCAUAAACUAUGCCG
rnacentral:rRNA from 1 species